rnacentral:rRNA from 1 species
GUGGGGAAUAUUGGACAAUGGGCGAAAGCCUGAUCCAGCCAUGCCGCGUGUGUGAAGAAGGCCUUUUGGUUGUAAAGCACUUUAAGCGAGGAGGAGGCUACCGAGAUUAAUACUCUUGGAUAGUGGACGUUACUCGCAGAAUAAGCACCGGCUAACUCUGUGCCAGCAGCCGCGGUAAUACAGAGGGUGCAAGCGUUAAUCGGAUUUACUGGGCGUAAAGCGCGCGUAGGUGGCCAAUUAAGUCAAAUGUGAAAUCCCCGAGCUUAACUUGGGAAUUGCAUUCGAUACUGGUUGGCUAGAGUAUGGGAGAGGAUGGUAGAAUUCCAGGUGUAGCGGUGAAAUGCGUAGAGAUCUGGAGGAAUACCGGUGGCGAAGGCAGCCAUCUGGCCUAAUACUGACACUGAGGUGCGAAAGCAUGGGGAGCAAACAGGAUUAGAUACCCCAGUAGUCC